CAGGGAGACAACAAAAUGUUUAAUAUUAUUAUUUUGUCACCUUAGGUCGAUCGGUAUCUCACGUUCUUAUUUUAUUAAGAAUUUCAUUUCCUAAGUUUUUCUAGGUCACACCCAUUAUUUUUCCUGGGCCAUUAGCUCAGGUGGUUAGAGCGCACCCCUGAUAAGGGUGAGGUCCCUGGUUCAAGUCCAGGAUGGCCCAUAUCUCUAUGUUGGGGGUAUAGCUCAGUUGGUAGAGCGCCUGCUUUGCAAGCAGGAUGUCAGCGGUUCGAGUCCGCUUACCUCCACUGAUUACCACCUCUCCCAUAAUUCGGUAGAAAGGAAACGUUUUGAGUUGUGAUCAAAUUCUGAACGAAUCUAGCUUCCUAAUGAAAUCAUUAAGAUGCUGGACUCAUUGAAUUAAUUUCAUUGUUUUCAGAGGACCUUGACAACUGCAUAGAUUAUUUAAAAGACAAUAAGCAUCUUUAAUGAUGCAGAUUUAUUAUUUGUGCGAAUGCAUUAAUAACAAUUCUAUUAAGCUGAUGCUUCA
rnacentral:tRNA from 1 species